GAAAACUAUGGACUCUAUUUUUCCAUCCCUGUCGCUAUUAAAAAAUUGCACAUGUUUCUGGAAGUGUAGUUUCCGGACAACAUAAAUGGUCUAGAAGUGUACUUCCAGACAGCACAAAGUUGGUGUUUUUUCGGAUACGUGCAUCCAAACUCAUGUUGUGAGUUGGAGAAAGUGUUUCCAAAAAACUAUUAGGCAUUCAUGGCCCAAAAGUGAAAAUAACCUUUGGGCACUAGCAAAUCUGAAUCUUUGAUGUUUUAGUGCAUCAUUCAUGUCAAAAUUUAUUCUCUGCUGAAUGCACGAGACUGUUGACAAAGAAAACUUUAUGGUAUUUUUUGGUUGAUAUAUGAAAAUGUGAAAUGUCCAUUUUGCUAUGAUCAACAAUCGGAACAACUGGGAUCCUUUUAAAAAGUAAUAACGGGUAUUAACUGAUAGAAAGUCAACUAAUGUCCCCAAAGAUGAAGCUAAUUAGCCAAAAAUAUUCUCACAUAGGAGACAAUCAUGUUCGAGGCUAACAUGGGGCAAACAAGUGCAGAACUAGGUUACCACUUACCACCUAGUGGGGAUAUAAUCAUCCAGAGUAUUGAAUCUUCAACCAUUUUGAUAUGCCAGUGUAACGUUAAAGUCGAGGCGCUAAUGGAAUUGGAGUCAAUGGCUCAGGAAACACGUUACGUUGUGGCUAUAGGUCAAUUGUUGAAGUAGAGUAAGAGUUCAGAACAUGCUUAUGCUGCAGAAAUUCUAAGGCUUCAGUCAUUAUUGUGAGAAUUAAGGGGAAAACAUCAAACUCCAAGAGUUCUUUGUGAUGAUUCAAGCUGGUGGAUGGUACAAACAACAGUUCUUCCGGUGUCAACUGUGUUCCUAACUGCUCUCAUCACUAUAGCUGCAGCCCUCGCAUCUAGCCCAGAAGUUGGCUCAUCCAUGAAUAUUAUUGAAGGAUUAGCUACCAAUUCAACUGCAACAGUUAGCCUUUUGCGCUGCUCUGUCGAGAGACCACUAACACCAGGCAGUCCUACUAAUGCAUAUCGUAGCGGUUUCAGUUCCACAAGUUCCAUGACUUCCUCAAUAAACAUCUGCAAGCAUUACAUUGAUGUCAGGGGACAAUCGGAGCCAUGCUGAAUAGAGUAAAGAUUCAUAGACAGUAACAUGAGGAGAAUGGAUAUCAGUUUGCUCGCAGUAUCCAGAAAUUCUUGCAAAGGUUUCUUGCUUCUUUGGAUAGCCAGAUAUUGUGAUGUUCCCACCAAUAUAUCCACCAGUUUUUCUACCAGAAAGCACAUCCAUCAGAGUUGUUUUGCCAGCACCGGUCACACCCAUCAGAGCCGUGAGAACACCUGGUCUGAAAGCUCCACUAAGACCCUUCAGAAGAACUAACUUAUCCUCAAUAACACCUCGGUUUCUCAUUUCCUGUAAUUUCAGUUCAAGUAUUUGAUAAACUUUACUUCAAAAUAGUGCCACUGUCGAUCAAUUAUAACCAUCAAAUCAUUAGAAAUGUUUGAAUUAAACUAGAACUACAUCUAAAGUCAAACACAUGGCUGUGAUGUGUUGAGAGUGUAAAACUUUUAACACUAACAGUGUAUCAAGACUUAACUCUUUUUUUAUUCGGUUUGUAGAUUACCUGUGGCAUGU
rnacentral:lncRNA from 1 species